rnacentral:rRNA from 1 species
UACGUAGGUGGCAAGCGUUGUCCGGAAUUAUUGGGCGUAAAGCGCGCGCAGGCGGUCGUUCAAGUCGGGUGUGAAAGCCCCCGGCUCAACUGGGGAGGGUCACGCGAUACUGAUCGACUCGAAGGCAGGAGAGGGUAGUGGAAUUCCCGGUGUAGUGGUGAAAUGCGUAGAUAUCGGGAGGAACACCAGUGGCGAAGGCGACUACCUGGCCUGUUCUUGACGCUGAGGCGCGAAAGCUAGGGGAGCAAACGGG